GGGCGAGUGGCGAAACCUGGUAUACGCGCAGCCUUGAGGAGGCUGUGGGGUAACCCGUGGAGGUUCAACUCCUCUCUCGCCCACAA
rnacentral:tRNA from 5 species